rnacentral:rRNA from 1 species
UACGUAGGGGGCGAGCGUUGUCCGGAGUUACUGGGCGUAAAGCGCACGCAGGCGGUCUGCUAAGUUUGGAGUGACAGUUGGUGGCUUAACUGCCAAAGUGCUUCGAAAACUGACAGACUUGAGGGCUUCAGAGGGACACGGAAUUCCGGGUGGAGUGGUGAAAUGCGUAGAGAUCCGGAGGAACACCAAAGGCGAAGGCAGUGUCCUGGGGAGUACCUGACGCUCAGGUGCGAAAGCCAGGGGAGCGAACGGA